GUUUUAAUAGUUUAAAAAAAAUAAUGAUCUUGUAAAUCAUAGAUAGAAUAAAUCUUUAAAACU
rnacentral:tRNA from 1 species